GACGAACGCUGGCGGCGUGCUUAACACAUGCAAGUCGAACGGAAAGGCCCUGCUUUUGUGGGGUGCUCGAGUGGCGAACGGGUGAGUAACACGUGAGUAACCUGCCCUUGACGUUGGGAUAACUUCAGGAAACCGGGGCUAAUACCGGAUAGGAGCUCCUGCUGCAUUGUGGGGGGUGGAAAGUUUCGGCGGUUGGGGAUGGACUCGCGGCUUAUCAGCUUGUUGGUGGGGUAGUGGCUUACCAAGGCUUUGACGGGUAGCCGGCCUGAGAGGGUGACCGGCCACAUUGGGACUGAGAUACGGACCAGACUCCUACGGGAGGCAGCAGUGGGGAAUAUUGCACAAUGGGCGGAAGCCUGAUGCAGCAACGCCGCGUGCGGGAUGACGGCCUUCGGGUUGUAAACCGCUUUCGCCUGUGACGAAGCGUGAGUGACGGUAAUGGGUAAAGAAGCACCGGCUAACUACGUG
rnacentral:rRNA from 1 species